rnacentral:rRNA from 1 species
GUGAGGAAUAUUGCGCAAUGGAGGCAACUCUGACGCAGCCAUGCCGCGUGCAGGAAGAAGGCGCUACGCGUUGUAAACUGCUUUUAACCGGGAAGAAACCCCAGGACGUGUCCUGGGUUGACGGUACCGGAGGAAUAAGCACCGGCUAACUUCGUGCCAGCAGCCGCGGUAAUACGAAGGGUGCAAGCGUUAUCCGGAUUCAUUGGGUUUAAAGGGUGCGUAGGCGGAGCGUUAAGUCAGUGGUGAUAUCCUGCAGCGUAACUGUAGACUAGUCAUUGGUACUGGCGCUCUUGAGUGCGAGUGAAGUGGGCGGAAUGUGCCGUGUAGCGGUGAAAUGCUUAGAUAUGGCACAGAACACCAAUUGCGAAGGCAACUCACUAAGGCGAUACUGACGCUGAGGCACGAAAGCGUGGGGAUCGAACAGGAUUAGAUACCCUUGUAGUCC